GAGAGAAAAGCAGAGAGCAAAGAGCGGUGCGACUGCACUCCUCCGCACUCCAAGGACAAGAGAGAGCAGGAAGAGAGCAGUCUUUUUCUAACUGUGUUGCAGGUCUGCCAAGCCCCUCUGUGACAGCAUGUAUCUGCCACACCCGCACUUCAUCCAUACAGCUCAGCUUGUCCAUGUGCGAAGACGCCUUGCAGGUUUGAAUUGUAAUGUCACAUAGUACAAAAUAUUGUGUAUACAUGUCACUGCUAAGUUUAGACCUCACAGCCCCAGUCACUUGGUCAGAGGAAGGAUGGCAACUUCUCCACUAGGCACAAAAAUGAAGAAGAUGACACGCUCAAAACCAAGAAGACCAAUGGGCAGCUGUCAUGAGGACUCAAGCCACCGGAGCGCUGAGCAUCUAAAUAGGACAUGAAGACACAGGGCACGACAGCCGAGGAGACUGAAGAUGGCCAGGGAGAACAACGCCGGCUCUACUGAGGAAACAGAACAGCAACAAAUGAAGAUGUUCAGAGUCUAGAUGCCGCAGAAGACUCAAGAAGAAGACAAGCAAGGAGAGCAACAAGAGCUCCAGUGAGGACUUUGUAAUUUUGUGGCACAGAGUUCAGUUGGUCCUGUGCAUGGUCAUAGUAAGUUGCCGUUGUUCAGUCCCCAGUUAGGCUUAAGAGCGGGUUCCCUUUGGAACUCGUUUGGGGGGGGGGUGUUAGUGUGGUGCGAACGUGGUUAGAGCAGUUGUCUCGGGAGCACAUCCGAAGCUGCAGGUGGGUCGCCAUUUUAUGGUUGCUUUACCGGGCUAUCGGGCUACAGUGCAUAAGUACCCGCCACAAGUAGCGCCUGAAGACUAGGGAACAGCUUAGUUAGAUUCUGGUUAGGCAGUUAGGAGGACAGGGCUUCAGUGAUAUUUUGGCUGUGCAUUUGGGCUGAUUGAGCAUGUUUUGGUGUCACUAAGAGAACUUAGAUUUGUGUCUUGUUAAUCUUUGUGUUGCUCUUCUACUGUAAAUAAAUUUUAUUCCUCACUAAACAUUUGGUGUUUCAGCAGCCAUUAUUUCUUUUAUUUACUUUUUCUUGGAUCCAUUUUGUAG